rnacentral:rRNA from 1 species
GCCCAUUGGGUUACUAAAAGGCCGCGGUAUAAUGACCGUGCGAAGGUAGCAUAAUCAUUAGUCUUUUAAUUGAAGGCUUGUAUGAAUGGUUGGACGAGAAGUAAUCUGUCUCUAUUAAAAAAAUUGAAUUUAACUUUUGAGUGAGAAGGCUCAAAUGACCUAGAGGGACGAUAAGACCCUAUAAAGUUUAACAUUAUAACAACAACAAGUUAAUUGGGUUAUAGGAUUUAUUAUUGUGAAUAGUGUUUUGUUGGGGCGACAAGAAUAUAAAUAGUUUAACUGUUCUUUUUUGUAUCAAAGAUAUUUGAAUUAAUGACUCUUUUAAGAGUAUUAGAGUAAAUUACUUUAGGGAUAACAGCGUAAUUUUUUUUGAGAGUUCUUAUCGACAAAAGAGUUUGCGACCUCGAUGUUGAAUUAAAGAUUCUUUAUAGUGUAGCAGUUAUAUAAGAAGGUCUGUUCGACCUUUAAAUCUUUACGUGAUCUGA